UUACGGCCAUAUCACGUUGGAACACCGAUUCUCAUACGAUCACCGAAGUUAAGCAACGUCACUCUGGUCAGUAACUAGAUUGGUGACUGCUUGGGAAUACCAGGUGCUGUAA